rnacentral:pre_miRNA from 1 species
ACAGUGUAUGCAAAUGAUGAAUGUGCCAUAUCAGAAACUAUUCCUCAUUGCUAUACCUGUGGU